AUGUGGCUAUUUAGAAGGCAUCACGAAGGAGCAAAUGAUGAAGCUACCAGCCCUAAGAUUAUCAGGUAUGGUGAUUUCUACAUUUCUUUAAAGGAUUUAGUUGAUUCGAUGAAGUCGGUUCAAUGGCAGUCAAAAAUUGUUAUUGAGACCGGAAUCUUACACAUCAUGGAGAGCUUACCAGAAGGGUCAAAGAAGGUUGUUAUGCCACUGAGGUUUUUGCAAGGUAUCCACAACGUGAAUGAGAUAAACAACAAGUUUGACUACAAGAACCGUCUGGACAAGAAGGACUUGGUCAUGCUACCAGUGCUUGAGUGCGCUGAUGUAACCGAUAAGGAGGGAGGGAGGCAUUAUUGGGUCUUCAAUGUCAACUUGAGGGACGGACGCUUCGAAGUUCUUGAUUCAAGCAGGAUGCUAGAUGACAUUGAGUUGAUGACCACCGCCUCUACCAUCGCGGGGCAGUACGCCAGCUAUGGAGGAAGCAUUACCCAAAGUUCAGCAUCGAGCACUUCCAGAUUAUUGACAUUGACGUACCGAAGCAGAUCGGCAAUUUUUUAA
rnacentral:rRNA from 1 species